CCUACGGGAGGCAGCAGUGAGGAAUAUUGGUCAAUGGACGAGAGUCUGAACCAGCCAAGUAGCGUGAAGGAUGACUGCCCUCUGGGUUGUAACCUUCUUUUAUAUGGGAAUAAAAUGUUCCACGUGUGGGAUUUUGUAUGUACCAUAUGAAUAAGGAUCGGCUAACUCCGUGCCAGCAGCCGCGGUAAUACGGAGGAUCCGAGCGUUAUCCGGAUUUAUUGGGGUUAAGGGGUGCGUAGGCGGAAUGCAAAGUCAGCGGUAAAAUCGCGGGGCUAAACCUCGCUCCGACGUUGAAACUGGCGUUCUUGAGUAGGCGAGAAGUAGGCGGAAUGCGUGGUGUAGCGGUGAAAUGCAUAGAGAUCACGCAGAACUCCGAUUGCGAAGGCAGCAUACCGGCGCCUAACUGACGCUGAAGCACGAAAGCGUGGGUAUCGAACAGGAUUAGAUACCCGUGUAGUC
rnacentral:rRNA from 1 species